UGAUUUGAAAUUAUUAUGCGGACGUAUUAUAAUAAUAAGUGCCGGACUUGUUUCGGCUAUGGCGAUAAACGCGCUGUGGAAUAGGCGAUAUGGACCCGGGGGCGGUACCCGGCGGCUCCACCAUCAUUUACGGGAUUGCGCUUUUGGGCGCUGACGUUAUGGGGCCGAAACAGGAUCGACAUGCGCAAUAAAGACAGAAGCUUUCGCCCGGUAUUGUACCACCGUUAUCGGGCUGAACAUAUAAAUGCUAACGACAAUACGCCGGCAACGGCUGAGCUGAAACUCGUUGCUUAAUGCAACCGGUUGAAGCCGUAAAGCAUCUAAUCCCUUUGCGGUAACGUAAAGGUGGGGCUUGGGGCGGGCCUAGCAACAGAACCGCCCCAUU
rnacentral:tmRNA from 1 species